rnacentral:rRNA from 1 species
GGCGGGAUUACCCGCUGAGUUUAAGCAUAUC